rnacentral:rRNA from 1 species
UUAAGCAGCCAUAUCACCCUGUAACGCACAACUGGCAGCAGCAGGUGUGAGCCUACCCAGUAUCUGGAUGGGAGAUCUCCUGGGAAAGCUAAGGUUGCUGCUGGAA